rnacentral:rRNA from 1 species
CUACUGAGGGUGCAAGCGUUAAUCGGAAUUACUGGGCGUAAAGCGCACGUAGGCGGUUUAUUAAGUCAGAUGUGAAAGCCCUGGGCUUAACCUGGGAACUGCAUUUGAGACUGGUAGGCUAGAGUAUGGUAGAGGAUAGUGGAAUUCCGGGUGUAGCGGUGAAAUGCGUAGAUAUCCGGAGGAACAUCAGUGGCGAAGGCGGCUAUCUGGACCAAUCCUGACGCUGAGGUGCGAAAGCGUGGGGAGCAAACAGGAUUAGAAACCCCAGUAGUCC